GGAGCGGCCGAUGCCUGAUUAGCUAGUUGGUGGGGUAAAGGCCUACCAAGGCAACGAUCAGUAGUUGGUCUGAGAGGACGACCAGCCACACUGGGACUGAGACACGGCCCAGACUCCUACGGGAGGCAGCAGUGGGGAAUUUUGGACAAUGGGCGAAAGCCUGAUCCAGCAAUGCCGCGUGAGUGAAGAAGGCCUUCGGGUUGUAAAGCUCUUUCAGUCGAGAAGAAAAGGUUGUGACAAAUAAUCACAACUUAUGACGGUAUCGACAGAAGAAGCACCGGCUAACUACGUGCCAGCAGCCGCGGUAAUACGUAGGGUGCAAGCGUUAAUCGGAAUUACUGGGCGUAAAGGGUGCGCAGGCGGCUUUGUAAGUCAGAUGUGAAAUCCCCGGGCUUAACCUGGGAAUU
rnacentral:rRNA from 1 species